rnacentral:tRNA from 1 species
AGCUCAACUGGUUAGAGCCGGCCGCUCAUAACGGUCUGGUUGCAGGUUCGAGUCCUGCC